AUUGAACGCUGGCGGCAGGCCUAACACAUGCAAGUCGAACGGUAACAGGAAACAGCUUGCUGUUUCGCUGACGAGUGGCGGACGGGUGAGUAAUGUCUGGGAAACUGCCUGAUGGAGGGGGAUAACUACUGGAAACGGUAGCUAAUACCGCAUAACGUCGCAAGACCAAAGAGGGGGACCUUCGGGCCUCUUGCCUUCGGAUGUGCCCAGAUGGGAUUAGCUAGUAGGUGGGGUAACGGCUCACCUAGGCGACGAUCCCUAGCUGGUCUGAGAGGAUGACCAGCCACACUGGAACUGAGACACGGUCCAGACUCCUACGGGAGGCAGCAGUGGGGAAUAUUGCACAAUGGGCGCAAGCCUGAUGCAGCCAUGCCGCGUGUAUGAAGAAGGCCUUCGGGUUGUAAAGUACUUUCAGCGGGGAGGAAGGGAGUAAAGUUAAUACCUUUACUCAUUGACGUUACCCGCAGAAGAAGCACCGGCUAACUCCGUG
rnacentral:rRNA from 1 species